GUUUAUCCAAGCAAUAAUGCAAACCCUUCUUGACAGUUCUGAGCUUCUUCUUUUCCAGGCUCCAGCAAGCCCUGAUCACAAAUUAUCAGAGAAGAUGGGAUUGCUACAUGACUGAGGACAGUUGUUUGCUAGAUACUCUGCAGAGAUGUCAGUCUGUUUUUAACUUCAGUCUGGAGUGAAUUUAUUGGGGUUACAUUGGCACCAUGGCUUCUGACUCUGAGCCUGGCCUAGCAGAGAUGUGUGCCUCCCACCCUGUUUUCAGAAGGAUGUCAUUGAGGAAACCACACAAGAUCAGCCUGCACUCCUUAAGGAAGCAAAUGACACAAGCUCACUUUCUUCUGAACUACUUAAGCUGAACAUUGGUACCACCACAAAAUAAGUACCCCACCCUAGCAAAGACUUUUGAAGAGGAACGCAAGGGGAUAUUCCUCCAGUAUUUCUUUGUCAGAGGGUAAGAGGAAGACCUAAGAAAUAAAACUUCUGCAGACAUUGGGAACGCAGUAACAAUCUUGCAGCAAAUACACGGUUGCAAGCAGGUGAUCUGGCUAUAUAAAGAAAUAGA